UUACGGCCAUAUAAUAAUGAAACACCAGUUUCUGUACGAUCACCGAAGUUGAGCAAUGUCGAGCCUGGCCAACACCUAGAUGGGUGAUCGCUUGGGAAUACCAGGUGCC